AUUGAACGCUGGCGGCAUGCCUUACACAUGCAAGUCGAACGCGAAAGGGGGGCAACCCCCGAGUAGAGUGGCGAACGGGUGAGUAAUACAUCGGAACGUGUCCAGUAGCGGGGGAUAACC
rnacentral:rRNA from 1 species